AGAGCGAACGCUGGCGGCAGGCCUAACACAUGCAAGUCGAGCGCCCCGCAAGGGGAGCGGCAGACGGGAGAGUAACACGUGGGAACGUACCCUUUGGUUCGGAACAACACAGGGAAACUUGUGCUAAUACCGGAUAAGCCCUUACGGGGAAAGAUUUAUUGCCAAAGGAUCGGCCCGCGUCUGAUUAGCUUGUUGGUGAGGUAACGGCUCACCAAGGCUACGAUCAGUAGCUGGUCUGAGAGGAUGAUCAGCCUCACUGGGACUGAGACACGGCCCAGACUCCUACGGGAGGCAGCAGUGGGGAAUAUUGGACAAUGGGCGCAAGCCUGAUCCAGCCAUGCCGCGUGGAUGAUGAAGGCCCUAGGGUUGUAAAGUCCUUUCGACGGGGAAGAUAAUGACGGUACCCGUAGAGAAGCCCGGCUAACUUCGUACCAGCAGCCGC
rnacentral:rRNA from 1 species